GUGCUCGCUUGGCAGCACAUAUACUAAAAUUGGCAUGACAUGGAGAAGAUGAGCAUGGUCCCGGUGAAAGGAAGACAUACAAAUUCACGAAGCAUUCCAUAUUUUA
ensembl:snRNA U6 U6 spliceosomal RNA